rnacentral:lncRNA from 1 species
UGAAAAUAAACAUGCUAUGAUGCAAAUGAUGCAGACAAGACUGGCAGGCUGUGCAUCUCAGAACACAGGAUCGAAGAUUCGGCUCAAACUCGGAACCACAAUUCAUCUGAAACCCAAAGUCAUCUGAUAAACUGUCAUCUGAAACCAAUCUGAGGAACCAAGUCACCAACAGGUCCACAAGUCACCAACAAGUCACCGACAAGUCACUAACUGUACCUGUAAUAAUGAUCAUUCCCUCCCAACUCAC